rnacentral:rRNA from 1 species
UACUGCUCAGUAACACGUCGAUAAUCUGCCCUUAGGUAAGGGAUAACCUCGGAAACCUGAGGAUAACACCUUAUAGAGAAGUAAUCUGGAAUGGUGCUUCUUGAAAAGCAAUGCCUAAGGAUGAGUUGGCGGCGGAUUAGGCUGAUGGCGGGGUAACGGCCCACCAUACCUAUGAUCCGUAGGGGCCAUGAGAGUGGUAGCCCCGAGAAGGGUACUGAGAUACUGACCCUAGCCCUACGGGGUGCAGCAGGCGCGAAAACUUUACAAUGCACGAAAGUGUGAUAGGGGGAACCCAAGUGCUCAUGCAUAGCAUGGGCUUUUGCCAAGAAUAAAUACCUUGGCGAAUAAGUGGUGGGUAAGACUGGUGCCAGCAGCCGCGGUAAU